UCUGUCUCCCCUUCUUGGGGGAGAGCCUGGGGGGUGGUCACGACCCUGCCGGCCUCCCUAAACCCAGGGCUCUUUGUCUUGGUGGUUGCCCCUGACUCCUUGCCACCUGGCCCUCCCGGCGCCUUGUGGGAUCCGAGGCAGGAGGGGGAUUAGGUCGUGCAAAUGGCUCCCCCCACCCCUCCCCGCCAGCCUGCCUCCCUCCCUGUCUUAGUCAUCUCUGUCCUCCACCGCCUUCUCCCUCCAUUCCAAUCCCUCUGCCAGGCCAAGGGGAGGACGGCACUGACAGGCGGCCCCCCCCACCCCGCAGGGGCGGCGGCAGGGCCAGGGGCCGGCGGCUCCGGGGAGGCUCAGAGGCGCUGGCUCCCCCCACCCCCUCUUCCUCAUCCUGCAGUCGCGCCUCCCCCCUCUUCCGCGCUGCGCACGGAUGGCGGCCGGAGCCGCAGAGAAAUGGGAUCAUACUAUAAAUCCUGUCUUGCUGAAUCACCCAUGCCAGACGAGCAGCCUGGGUAUCACCCUGAGUUGGUCGGAAAUACACAAUCUCAUGCCUCACUCGUGACCUGCUGGAUCACAACCUGCAUUUAACAAGAAUCAAGAGCCCCGGAGAUUCCUGUGCACAUCAGAGCUGGAGGAGCUCUAAUAUAUAUUAUUAUAUACAACUUGUUUUUUUAGCAACAGUGAGUCUUUGAGGUCUCUCAGUGUAAGAACAGAGUGGUCAUGUUCCUUGUUCGCAGCUGCAUAGUUUCCCACUGUUUACUAGUGCUUUGGUUUUGUUCUCUGGUUUGGUAAAAAUGAUUGUGCUGGGCUUGAAGAAUGGAUCAAUACAAUGCCA